GUUUAUAUAGUUUAUUAAAACACUUUAUUUUCAAUAAAGAAAUGAAUAAAACCAAAUUCUAUAAAUA
rnacentral:tRNA from 1 species